GUGUUGGGAACUUGAGCUGUUGGCAUGACUCAUCACUAUAUUCUUAUCCUAAUACUUUCUUCCGGCUUCUCAGUCCUCUUGGCUUUAUUUCCAUCUUCUUCAAUCUUCAUAUUGGACAGAUGUCGAUCGACACGGAUAAGCAUGCUGCGUCACCUCAUACGCACUCGAUUACCAUUUCCAGUGCCAAGAGCGCUCUCUCUUCCUCAACCUGUUGCCUCCCCGCUUCUUCUCCUUAAGCAUUUCAAUCCCCGCUGUUCCGUCAUCUCAAGCCCAACUCCUCCCACUACUCACUCUCCGACUCACACCCACACCCACACCCACGCCCACAUGGAUCCUAAUCCUACAGGCUCCAUCGUCUUCUCCACUCUUGACAGGCCCCAUUACGGAUUCGACCUCUUCUCUGUCGAACUCGGUCCCGCCUCCACUGUCAGUUCCGAGCGUCGCCUCACCGAUGCCAUCUCCAUCAACUUCAACGGUCAGUUCGUCGACGAUGAUCAGACCCUCGUAUUCAUCUCCGAGCGCACCGGAUCUUCCCGUAUCUACCUGUCUCAACCUGGAUUCUCCAGUCCGAAACCACUUCCUUAUAUACCCACUAGCCUCUUCCACGACCGCCCCGUCAUCCACAACGGCCGUCUCUACUUCAUCUCAGCCCACGAGCAACCCGAUCGACUCUUCAAAAGCUGGUGCGCCCUCUACUCGACCCGGGUCGAUGAGUUGGAUGUUACUCGGCUCACCCCGUACGGUACUGUCGAUUACAGUCCCGCUGUUUCUCGGUCCGGUAAAUUCAUCGCCGUUGCGUCAUACGGGUCUCGACCUUGGGACGGUGAGUUCUUCGAGCUUCACACCAAUCUAGUUGUGUUUCCACAAUCCGACCCGAAUAACCGGGUGACCGUCUGCGAACGAGGCGGCUGGCCCGCUUGGUCUGGGGACUCCACCAUCUACUUUCAUCGCGAAGCGGAGGAUGGUUGGUGGAGCAUUUUUAGGUUGGAUCUGCCGGAAAAUCUCGAGCUUUCUUCGGAACUUCAUAACACUGUCACUCGGGUCACCCCUCCCGGGCUCCAUUGCAUCACACCGGCCGCCUUGCACGACGGUAAACGGAUCGCUGUUGCGACCCGCCGGUGUGAAAGGGAGUUCAGACACAUUGAGAUCUUUGACACUGAAUCGAAGACAUUCUCCCCAGUGACGGAGUCGCUGAAUCCGACUAUAAACCACUACAACCCUUUUGUCUCUCCCGGUUCCCGGUUCCUCGGGUACCAUCGGUUCCGAGGUGAGUCGAUAGAAGGCGUGUCGACGAUUCCAUAUAUCGAGUCAUUGAUGUCUCCGAUUAAGCAACUCCGAAUGUUCAGGAUAAACGGCUUUUUCCCUUCGUAUUCUGCCGACGGUAAGUAUAUCGCGUUCAAUUACGACUUUGGUUCGAAUUCUAGCCUGAAGAUACUAAAAUCGGACGGUACGAAGCGGUGGACCCUAAUCAAGGGCCGUACAGCGUUUGGCAACUCGUGGAGCCCCGCAGAGAAACACGUUAUAUACACAUCUUUGGGGCCUAUAUUCAGGUCAGUGACAGAGACGGUCCAGAUCGCAAGGGUCGAAUUCAACCAGGCAGAUCUGGACGGCGAUGGCGAGGACGUGAAGUGCGACGUGAAGAUUUUAACCAAAGAGGAGACGGGGAAUAACGCCUUUCCGGCCUGUUCUCCGGACGGCAAGUCCGUCGUGUUCCGGUCUGGAAGGUCUGGGCACAAGAAUUUGUACAUAGUGGACUCUGUCGAUGGCGAGUUCAACGGCGGAAUACGUCGGUUGACGGACGGCGCGUGGAUCGAUACCAUGCCUAGCUGGUCACCCAAAGGAGAUCUGAUUGCGUUUUCAUCCAAUAGACACAAUCCGGACAACAGCCGAAAGUUCGGCCUUUACGUCGUCAAACCCGACGGCUCCGAUAUGCGUAGGAUCUACGUGGCGGGACCUGAGGGUUCGAAUGAAGCUGACAUGGAGAGGAUCAACCACGUCUACUUUAAUAAGGACGGGGAGUGGCUUCUGUUCACGGCUAACUUUGGCGGUGUGUCCACGGAACCGGUGUCGUGGCCCAAUCAAUUUCAGCCAUACGGCGACUUGUACGUGGUGAGGUUGGACGGGAGUGGACUGAGGAGGCUGACUUGUGAUGGGUACGAGAACGGGACGCCAGCAUGGCACUCGGGGGAUGAUGAUGAGCUGGACAUGGGACGCUUGACUCUGGGAAGCGAGGUUGGUGGGGAUCAGCUGAGAGGGGAGUUUAGGGAGCUACGUUGGCUCUCUUGUGAAUUUGUGAAGCAGUAGACUUUAGUCUAUUACUGCGCAAGGAAAUUGCCAUUUCAGUAGAAACAUGUUCUGCAGAUUCUGGAGAACUUGGAAGAAUCUAGAGCAUUGAAGAAUGAUAUAGGGAGGAGGACAGUGUGACUGUGAGGGGGCAUAUGAGGAUGAGCAAAAUGGCGUCCCAGUGAUUUUAUACUAACUCACAAAACCACGGUACUUUCUUGAGCCUACAUGUACAGGCACUAUACAAUUUUGAAGGCUGAUUUUAUUUCAUGAAUUGCUAAACUUGCUACUCCAGCUUCUUUUAUGCAGCUAGUGGUUAGGUUAGGUUAGGUUACUAAGAGAGGGAGUGUCGAAGUUUUGGUGAUAAUGGUGGCAGUGGAAAUAGUGCGAAUGAUUAUACUAUUGUGUGUGGAUGGUGUAUACUAUUGAGUGGCAGCUUCACUGCUUGUGGUAGAGUUGGCAGUGAGGGGUGGUGUGUUUAAUGUCCCUUCACCCUAAAACAGAUACGGUUGUGGAUCCAAAAGCGGUAGAAGUGGCAGUAGCAUACCUUCCAUGUCAAGGGCUAGAGACAAGUGAUGGCUUUCCUUGUACUAUAAGUCUAGCCGAUCCAGUGGAUUAUGCUCUUGCUCAUGAUUGGGAUUAAGUUUAUGCCGUGAGGUUCGGUUCCUUAUCUAGAAAGCAUACCUGGAUGGAUAUAUAUGCAUAGGUGUGUGUAUUAUCUCUUGUUACUUUGUGAAAUUCAACUGUUCCAUUUGAGGAUUUAAACUUGAAUGCUGGGACUUUGCCGGGAGCGCACUCUCAACUGUUAUUUGGU